CAACUUUUUCUACCAUCUCGAGUGUGUCAUAUCCAACGUGACACUUCUUUUGUAUGGAACCUCACCAAUGGAAUGUCUCUCUCUCUCUCUGGACCCACUCUUGACCUUCCUGGGCCACUCUGGUGGAGUCCUAUCCAAAAUAUCCAUUCAACUGGAAUGAGUGUCGUCGUGUGAGAUUCUCUCUGUGUAAUUAUUGCCACAAGUUAUUAUCGCCUGAUUAACACCAAAGGGUUAAUUUAUUGUUAAACGAAGAAAAGCAAGGUGUUUCUAGAGGAUCAAACCUUCGCAUCUUCAUGUAACCACCGAGAGCCAUCCACCCAAACAUAAGCACUCCCAUUGAGCUGGUGAGAAAUGCAAGAGCAUUGCAAAUUGCUUUUGGAAGCUACUUAACACGCGGCUGUUGCAUUUGAGAGGAUACCCCACGGGCAAAAUCGCGAUGACAAC